UACGUAGGUGGCAAGCGUUAUCCGGAAUUAUUGGGCGUAAAGAGCGCGCAGGUGGUUGAUUAAGUCUGAUGUGAAAGCCCACGGCUUAACCGUGGAGGGUCAUUGGAAACUGGUCGACUUGAGUGCAGAAGAGGGAAGUGGAAUUCCAUGUGUAGCGGUGAAAUGCUUAGAUAUGACACAGAACACCGAUUGCGAAGGCAGCUUACUGGGAUGCCACUGACACUGAGGCACGAAAGCGUGGGUAUCAAACAGGA
rnacentral:rRNA from 1 species